UGAGUCGUAUUAAGGGCAACCUUUCCUAUCGCGGGGGAUAACACCGGGAAACCGAUGCUAAUACCGCAUGUCGGUCACUGGUCGUAUGGCUGGUGAAGAAAGCAGCAAUGCACGAUGGGGUGGGCCCGCGGCCUAUCAGCUAGUCGGUGGGGUAACGGCCUACCGAGGCGAUGACGGGUAGCUGGUCUGAGAGGACGGCCAGCCACACGGGGACUGAGACACGGCCCCGACUCCUACGGGAGGCAGCAGUGAGGAAUCUUCCGCAAUGGGCGAAAGCCUGACGGAGCGACGCCGCGUGUGCGAUGAAGUCCUUCGGGAUGUAAAGCACUGUCGGAGGGGAAGAAAGAAAUGACGGUACCCUCCAAGAAAGCCCCGGCUAACUACGUGCCAGCAGCCGCGGUAAUACGUAGGGGGCAAGCGUUAUCCAGAUUUACUGGGCGUAAAGCGCGUGUAGGCGGCUGGUUAGGUGUGAUGUGAAAUCUUCCGGCUCAACCGGAAAACUGCAUUGCAAACCGGCCUGGCUAGAGUGCAGGAGAGGGAAGCGGAAUUCCAGGUGUAGCGGUGAAAUGCGUA
rnacentral:rRNA from 1 species